UGCAUUAGUCGCUCUGAUGGCUUCCUCU
rnacentral:sRNA from 1 species